rnacentral:rRNA from 1 species
AGAUUGAACGCUGGCGGCAUGCCUUACACAUGCAAGUCGAACGGCAGCACGGGGGCAACCCUGGUGGCGAGUGGCGAACGGGUGAGUAAUACAUCGGAACGUGCCCAGUCGUGGGGGAUAACUACGCGAAAGCGUAGCUAAUACCGCAUACGAACUCUGGUUGAAAGCGGGGGACUCGCAAGAGCCUCGCGCGAUUGGAGCGGCCGAUGGCAGAUUAGGUAGUUGGUGGGGUAAAGGCUCACCAAGCCGACGAUCUGUAGCUGGUCUGAGAGGACGCCAGCCACACUGGGACUGAGCACGGCCCAGACCUCCUACGGGAGGCAGCAGGUGGGGAAUUUUGGACAAGUGGGCGCAAGCCUGAUCCAGCCAUUCCGCGUGCAGGAUGAACGGCCCUAGGGUUGUAAACGUGUCUUUUGACGGAACGAAAGCGACUGAAGUUAA